CCGGGAUGCUCCAAAACCAUGAUCGCUAAAGCGCUAGCCAACGAGAGCCAGCUCAACUUCCUGUCCAUCAAGGGUCCAGAGUUACUGAGUAAAUAUGUGGGUGAAUCAGAGCGAGCGCUUCGAGAGGUUUUCCGGAA